rnacentral:rRNA from 1 species
ACGAUGAUGGGAGCUUGCUCCCUGGAUUAGUGGCGAACGGGUGAGUAACACGUGAGUAACCUGCCCUUAACUCUGGGAUAAGCCUGGGAAACUGGGUCUAAUACCGGAUAUGACUCCUCAUCGCAUGGUGGGGGGUGGAAAGCUUUAUUGUGGUUUUGGAUGGACUCGCGGCCUAUCAGCUUGUUGGUGAGGUAAUGGCUUACCAAGGCGACGACGGGUAGCCGGCCUGAGAGGGUGACCGGCCACACUGGGACUGAGACACGGCCCAGACUCCUACGGGAGGCAGCAGUGGGGAAUAUUGCACAAUGGGCGCAAGCCUGAUGCAGCGACGCCGCGUGAGGGAUGACGGCCUUCGGGUUGUAAACCUCUUUCAGUAGGGAAGAAGCGAAAGUGACGGUACCUGCAGAAGAAGCGCCGGCUAACUACGUGCCAGCAGCCGCGGUAAUACGUAGGGCGCAAGCGUUAUCCGGAAUUAUUGGGCGUAAAGAGCUCGUAGGCGGUUUGUCGCGUCUGCCGUGAAAGUCCGGGGCUCAACUCCGGAUCUGCGGUGGGUACGGGCAGACUAGAGUGAUGUAGGGGAGACUGGAAUUCCUGGUGUAGCGGUGAAAUGCGCAGAUAUCAGGAGGACACCGAUGGCGAAGGCAGGUCUCUGGG